AUCAGAUUUGUUCUUCCCUAUUACAUUAUUGAAAGAAAGGGGAGGAAAGGGAACAGAGGUGACCAAAGUCCUCAGGAUUCCAGUUUUUGUGCUAGACUCAGCAUAGAUCAUGCCCUUGAAUCCUCAAAACAACACAGUAAGUUGCAUAUUAUUUUCCCCCUUCUAUAGAUAAGGAAGCUGGGACUCGGGGAGUUUGGGUAAGCUGCACACAGCAGGAAGGGUCCAGAGCACUUCACUCCGCCUCACUUCCCUUGUUCAGAAAGCCUCCUUGCUUCACUCUAUGCAAGCAGCAACAAUUCCUAAUAUUUUGUGAAUAGAGAUUUAUUGCUUUGGGAUAAAUAUUGGACCCUCAGGUGGCACCAUGAAGUAAUUUAUCCAGACACUUGACUCCAGAUUCUCCUGAUAACCCGGGCAAGGUCAGGGAAGGGUUAGAACUUGAGAAAAGGACAAGGGAUGGGGGAAGAGUCCAUGAUGACCACAAACUCUUCUGUAAUUUGUCUCCAUUUCACCUGGCUUGAUCCUAAAAAAAAAAAAAAAAAGGUGCCAUGUACAUUUCCUUGAUGGGCUCCAUAGGGCUUAUGUAGAGGGUUCUCUCUGGGAUGGAGUCCUUGGGAGGCCCACCUCUAGUUUGCCUCAAUCACUUCUCUGUGAGUCAACUUCCCAUCAGUAAAACCACAUAUCUGCAUUAAUUAGAUAAGCUCAGAGAUCCCAUCUAGUCCUAACUUUCUCUGAUUCUGUGUCUCUUCAUAGGUAACACCCUGGGAGAAGAGAAAUUUAUCACCAAAGAGUACCACGUGGGUUUGGCAAGACCUUAUCUUGCUGGGUAGGAAUCACAGAUAAAGCAUUGCCAACAGCUACUUUUAUGCCAGCCAGAUGGGAGGUAACACCCCUCUGGAAUUCUGACCUGACACUUGAAACCAGAGCAGAGGAGUGCUCCAGUGUGAUGUGUUGCCAAGGGAUACAUUGCUUUUAUGGAUAAGGUUUCCUGAUUCUUAGAUCUCAGCCACGUCCCCCAGUAGGGCACAGCAAGGCAGUUGAGGAUUCCAUGACAACACACAGCCAGGCACUGCCAAGGACAACUUUCUGUGGCAUGAAAGCUUUGCCUGGUGCCGGUGAUAAUGUGACUUUGUUUUCCUGAAGUAGGCUGGGUGUGGGGAGCCAGCCCCACCUGUCCUCUAUGUCACCUGAUGCGGGGAAUGUUAUACAGCCCCCCUCCCCAUCAGCUUUCAAAAGAAUGUUACCCCGCCACACACAGUAAAUAAUCAUUGUUUCUGGACUAUAUCUUUCAAGACUUUAUCCUUCCACACAAAUGGGAUCCACUUUAUAUGUGCAUGUGUUCUCCCUUGUCAGCUCGUAUUUGAUGUUUACUUCAAAAAACUCACAGAAGAGAUUUGGAAAAUUUCUAUGAGACUGAACCAGGUAUGAAAUACAGAAGGAAUAGAUCUCAUAACAUUAGAGCUUUGGAGUUAUACCUAAUUUUCAAAAUAAAAACUGCCUUGUUCUAAUGGCUACUGAAUUAUUCACAAAAAAUUGGCUCUGGAUACAUGUGAGUUUCUCAAAAAUUCAUACCUUUCUCAAAGUUGCUGAUAUUGUCAUCAUAGCAGAUAUUUAGAAGAUUGUGAUACUGGCCCUGAAAGUGGGGAAAUGUUAAUUCUGCACACACAUGCCCUUCUUCUCCCAUCUCCCUGCCAGCCCAAUAGUGCUGUAAAGCCCCAAAUCAAAGUGUGAACUCGGAUUCUCCCUCCAACGCAGCUGAUAAACCCAUGGUCGUGUGCAAAAAUACACUGUCGACACAGAAAUGGGCAAUGAGUAAUUUUGUUCAAGAUCUGACAUUAUCUUGGCAGGGACCAGCAGCUUCUACUGCCAAGAGGUGAGACUUCACUAUUGAAGUCCAGCUCUUCCUUUGCAAACGUUUCUUUCAGAUAAACAACAGUACAUGAUAGCAUAUGGUUCCUACAUGUGCUCAUUUAUCUUACAAGAUUCCCAGGGAGAGGAGGGAGAGCAAGCAGGCCAGGCGUUAGGGUCCGUAUGGAUCACUUUAAGACACGGCUCUGGCUCCUGGUUGAACAGUUGCCUAGAUACAAGUACAUUUUUCUUGUGCCAUCACUUAGUGACGUUCAUAGUUACCACCUCCACCUCGUCCAGUCGUCUCAGAGCACAUCUUAUUAAAAAUCACUGCUUUCAGAGUCAACAAGACUUCUAUUGCACAUCUUCUGUGUUCCAGGUACAAUUGCCAAUACUAGUUUCUUUACCUAGAAAAUGUCACUUAAUCCUCCUUAUAGUUACCCUUUCGGUACUGUAGAUGAGGAAACAGAGACCAAGCUCACCUAGAAAGUGACAAAAGUGAGAUUUAAACCCAGGGACUCUCUCACCUCAAAACCCAUGUUCUUCCUGCUCCCAGAACUAUUCAAGACUCAAGACUCGCCAAAAGGCUGGUGAGGGAGGGAUUACCAAGAUGCUUUCUGGUAUCUGUCACAUUAGUCUACUUUGGUGAAUGUCUUCCUAUCAACCUGUUCAUUCAGCCUCAGCAAGAAAUGUCAUCACUUAGCCACUAACAUACUGGCCAUGGACUUCAUGGUUGACGGUUCUACUGGUGGGUCUACCUACAUCCUUCACGGUCUGUGUAGCCAUUUCAGGCAUCAAAACUCCAUCCUCACUUCCCCAACCUUAGGGCCCACAAUCAAUGGAGAGGCAAGAAGGUCAAGAAGUUUGAAUUGCAUGAGGACCCGCUCUCAGGAAGUCACACUUCCAGGCUGAAUUUCUUGAAUGAGAAGAAAGCCCACCCACUCUCCCUUGUACCUUUGCAAACCUCCUUGGCUCUUCAAGGUUCAGAUGGCAGCCUACGUCCUGCUUGAAAACAUUUCUGCCUGCUCCUGCCUGAAUCGACUCCCUUCUCCUCUGAAUCUUAUCAUACUCAAGUAGCCACCAAGAUGUUACAGGAGAUUCAUAAAAGUAGAAUUAAUUGGUUGAAAGACCUGGACCUCAAGCUUGAAGGAUGUGGAGCUUUGAAUGUGCAGCAAGAGAUGGGGAAGGAGGGGAAGAGCCUUCCAGGUGGUGUGGGUCAAAGAGAGGAGGCUGAUGCAUGGAGACAAGGGAGGCCAGUGAGAGAAUGAUCUGGGCUGAACAGAAUGAAGGCUUGGACAGAGGACAGAAUGUCCCUCAGCAUGGAAACAAGCAGACCAGGUAGCCAAAAUAUCACAGCAUAUUCUCAGUGAAACAAACAGGAAAAAACAUGCUUGGAGAGAGUUUCGCUUGUUUGAUGUUAUGGUUCCUGUUGACAUUUUUCAAACAGAAGUUUUGAAAACAAAUGUGUUCCACAGUCUCCCACCUCUGAAAAGCAGUAUUUACUCCUUUUCCUACAGGUGUUUUCAUUCCUAUGAAAACUGAGAUAUCUUUUUCUGAAUCGGCAACUAGAUUGUUACCCUUGUAUCAAAACUACAUUGAGGUACCACCUCACACGGGUUAGAGUGGCCAUCAUUAAAAAGUCUACAAGUAACAAAUGCUGGAGAGGAUGUGAAGAAAAGGGAACACCCGUACACUAUUUAAUUCAGCAAAUUUUUAGUGAUACUUAUAUAUGGGAUCAUGUUAGGGAUACGGGGGAGAUAAGGAAUAGAGAGAAAGACUUUGACUGCAGGAAGCUCACAGUUUAUAAGGGGAAUAAGAGAAGGAAUCAGACAACAAUAAAGCAAGAAGAACGUUCUUCCCAGAGGAGACUAGGAGAUUCCAAAUGGGAGGUAUCCUCUGGUUGGGUGGAUCAGCUAAAGUUUCAUGGAAGAGGAAGCAACUGAGAUUAAUUUUGAAGAAUGCAUAGGAUAUCCACAAACGAAAAUCAGGCUGAGAUUGUGGAGAAUGAAUGUGUACCAGUGGGCGGAUUGACUUGAGCGGGAGAAGAGCACCCAACUUAGAAACCUAUUUAAAAGUCUAGACAUGUUGUAAUGAUGGCCCAAACUAGGGAAGUGUUAGUAGAAACCGAAAGUGGAGGACAGAGAGGAGAGACAUUGCUAAGAUAAAACUGUCGGUGCUUAACAACUGCCAUUGAUCAUGGGGUGAAAGAGGUGUCCAGCCCAAGAGACUGGAGGAACAGCCAUGCUAUUAUCAGAAAGGCUAAACGUGGAAGAAGUGGCUUCAUUAACACAUUUGAAAUAGGCUGAAAUUCCAAUAUAGCAGGCAAAAUAAUUUGAAAGGAGAAAAUUUGGUCUUUGCAAAUAACUAGAACUACCACUGAAAAAGCUUAUAACUUUCAUCUUAGUCCUUCUUGGUAAUUUGAAUGGUAUGACAAAAUGGCCUUAUCUUUCAAACAUAUUUAUUUACAGAUAUAAAUAUUAGACUGGAUCCUAAAACACCUAAUUAGAGAUGUUCUUAAAAAUUUUUCUUUUUAAAAUUCACAAGCAUCUUUGUAUGAAAGUUUCAUACAAUGAAACUUUCAUUGUUUCAAAAGUUUCAUUGAUUGCAUUUUAACAAAACAAAUAAAACCUAUGCCUUCUAACUAUGUAAUUGGUUUUUAUUUUAGAUUCAAAAACAGAGUGUUUUGAUAUUACUGGUGCAAGUUUUAUAAUCUUUUUUUUUUUUUUUGAGGUACGCGGGCCUCUCACUGUUGUGGCCUCUCCCGUUGCAGAGCACAGGCUCCGGACGCGCAGGCUCAGCGGCCAUGGCUCACAGGCCCAGCCGCUCCACGGCA